rnacentral:rRNA from 1 species
UACAGAGGUCUCAAGCGUUGUUCGGAUUCAUUGGGCGUAAAGGGCGCGUAGGCGGAGAUGUAAGUCAGAUGUGAAAUCCCGGGGCUCACCCCCGGAACGGCAUUUGAGACUGCAUCCCUUGAGGGUAGGCGGAGAAAACGGAAUUCCACAAGUAGCGGUGAAAUGCGUAGAUAUCUGGAGGAACACCGGUGGCGAAGGCGGCGUUCUGGACUGCUACUGACACUGAGGAACGAAAGCCAGGGGAGCAAACGGG